CAAGAAGCUGUUGAGGCCUCAAUUAUUCGGUCGAAGCACAGGAACAGGGAGACAUUUUAGACGAGAGAACACAUAGUCAUGAAGGAUCCACGGGGGAUCGCAAAGACCUGCCUCCCAGUGGACGCCCCGGGAGUUUGGCCGGCUUCCCCUGAUCAGGCUAAGGCUGCCUGUGGUGACGCACUGCUGAGCACUUCCGUGGGGCUUUGCUGUCCCUGCAUGAGGAGCAAACCCUGAGGUCCUGUGCUGGGCAGUUUACCGCUGAAGUCUGCUCAGUGUGACGGUAAAUAACAGCCCCUUUCCGAGUCCACAGCACACUGAAAAGGCCAGGUGCCGCCGCCCAGGACCUGGAACCUAGACCUGAACUCUCACCCUGGUGCACCUGCCAUGGAACCCAAGUGACCUGCAUCCGUCAGUGCAUCACGCCACAAGGUCGGUGCUAUGUCCAGGACCCCAUGCUGGUCUUGCUGACAGUGUCUUCACUUGAUGGACGCCUUUAUUCUCUUCUGCAUCCCAUAGCUUAGCACCGAUAACCAUGAUACGUCUUACAACUACAGAAUCAGGUAAGAGGAACAAAAUCAUUUCCUUUAGGAAUAUUGCCAAAGAAACAAGUUUUCAUUUAAAAAAAAUAGAAACGUCUAUGUGGAUACAGCCAAAUGACUCUGCAUUUAGGAAACUAUCAUCAUCAAGAGGCUGUAGCACUUUCUUUGUUAACUGUAUUACUUUGAUCUUGCUGCACCAUGCUUUCAACUUCUGGAGCUUUCUUUCUUUAGUGUCCUAAAAGCAACACAAUCAUUUUAAAGGCUGCAGACUACAACAGCAAGAAUUUCUGACUGUUAAAAAAAUAAAUAAAUUUCUUUCAAAUUAAAAUUAUUAUAAAAGUGGAGAUUACAAUAGUUAAGGAAAUAGAAAAAUAAGCCAAUUAUGAUCUGAGUCUUCGGACUAUGGCUCCAAUUUAUUAAUACAAAUAUCUGUGUAUAAAACUUUUUCAAAAAGUUAAUUCUGCCAGCCAGACCCUCAUACAGAACUUUCCAAGUCUCUGAAUUGACUGAAUGACCCUAUAAACCCAUUCUCUGCAAGUUUCUGCUACAGAGCUAUAGUAACCUCCAUCACUGAUGAAGCAUAUACUGGAAUCAUUUCCCUAUUAUUUUUAUAGUUGUCAAAAAUAAACUGCUGACGUAAUUUAAUCAUCUGAGGAAGAAGUGGCAAACUAGGCACACAGUACUAAUUACAAAAUCACGAGCAAUGGCCAACAAUAUUAUUAGAGGAUUAUCCGUGACUUGCAAACCAUUCAGUAUUUCUAUACUAAACAAGAGAAAUUAUAGUGUGUGAUUUAGUGUAGCAGGUUAAAAAAAAACUCAUAAAGAUUUCAGACCAAAAUUUACCUAUGUAUUUUUAAUUUUACUGUAUCUGUCCUGUUUCUUCAAAUUUUCCUCAAUUUUCAAAGCCUAUAAAUUUAUAUCAGCCAAUACGGUAUCUAACUAAAAUUAUGUUUAAUGCCAUAAUAUCUUAAUUUUACUAUAUUAAAAAUGAUAAAUUACUACCUGGCCAAUUCCUCUAUUAGCUGGCAGGCUCAUCAGAAAGAAGCAGGGCAUUUUUAUUCCAUCAGCUAUGGUAAGUACAGAAUAGGAAGAAGAGAGAUGCGAUUCCUUUUCCAAGUCCUCUCUUUAACUGAGACUUGCUUUUGAUAAAUGAAAUCUUCCCAUUCCAAAUAAUUGGGCAACAGGCACUGCAGGAGACAUGAUCACUCGCUCAGUCUCAAACGCCUCGCCAGGCAGCUGCAAGGUUUCCAUGCUCAGACAACAGUUUUCAGAAGCAAACACCAGAGACAAUACAAAUCAUUUCAACCCUGAUUUCAUCGCAAACGAUUUUAAAAUACAGUACUGACCUAAUAUAUUUUGUGGGCAUGUAGUGUUUGUUGUAAGUGGUAAAAUUUAAGACAUUUAAUCUAAAAUUUUCCCUAAAAAAAUUUCCAUUUUUCCUAAAAAAAGGAAGACAUUUUAGUAGAAAAAGAAAAACAAGCAGCAGAAGUGGCUAGGUAAUUGAAACUGAAAUUAAAAAACAAACAUAUAAGCAAAAAGCAAAUACAAAAAAGCACAGUCCUAUAAGGAACAGUCAGCUUGGCACAGUGAAGACUAAAUGUAAGACACAAAAGACAAACUGUGUAAUAAAUAGGGCCACAGUUGUAAACUGUCAUUCUCCCUCCAAGACGCUGAAAUUGCACUCUAGUUCUCUUGGGAAGCAGCAGAGUUUACAGGAAGAGUGGGUAGGAAACAGCUGUACAGGGCAGGUAUCGUGUAUACAUUUUUUAGAAAAUUAUAAUUCUACAAUCCCAAGGGAAUAGAGGUUAUAGUCACUGAAUGACUGAUACUAUGUCCUCUUCAUGCUUCAAUUAUUUUUCAAUACCUAAAAAUGAGGAAGAAUAGAGAAAUCCUUUUUAGUUUUAACUCAUGUUUCACAUAAUCAUGAAAAAUGAAGGAAGUAAAAUAUGUCAACAGUUUAUAAACAUUUUAGCCAUAGCUUUGACCACUUUCCCCAAAAUUUAAACAAAAAGCAGUAUUAAAUGAUUUGAUUUCUUCUCCUUUUAUUUACCUUUUAAGUAGCACUUUACAAGUAGAAAAAUGUUUAAAAGGAUUUCUGCCCUUCAGUUGUUUUUCCUUCUUCCCCAAUAAAGCUAUAGGUCAACUGAAUAUAUGGAUUACAUUUAUAGUAAAAAGAAAAAGAUGGUUAUACUUUGAACCAUUACAGUGGUUAGUGACAUUCUUAAAGACAACUAACUAGCCGGUAGGUGUCAAGGUAAAAAUAAGGGGUGGGGCUGAAGGGUCAGAGACAGACAAAUGUUUAUGGUAAGAAAAGUGACAGUGAAAUUAACCACUGCAGUUUUUGUUUAUUGUCCAUUCCUGGAGCCAUCUGCCAUGCUGUUACUGAACCUAUUUACCUAUGCUUUUAGUAAACUCAACCUAUCCAGAGUACUGUGCAAGACAGAAGACCUGACAUGAAAAAUUGGGAAGUAUUGGUAUUCUCUCUCUCCCUUUUUUUUUGGUGCCGGGGAUCAAACUCGGGACGUUGCGUUUGCCAGCCAGGCACCGGAACCACUGAGCUGAAUCUCCGGCCCUGGUAUAAAUAUACUGUCAUUUUCCCCCGAAAAUAAAUCCAGUGUUCUGAAAUGUUUU
ensembl:lncRNA